UACGGAGGGUGCAAGCGUUAAUCGGAAUUACUGGGCGUAAAGCGCACGUAGGUGGUUUGUUAAGCCAGCUGUGAAAUCCCCGGGCUCAACCUGGGCACUGCAGUUGGAACUGGCAAGCUAGAGUAGAGUAGAGGGGUGUGGAAUUCCAGGUGUAGCGGUGAAAUGCGUAGAUAUCUGGAGGAACAUCAGUGGCGAAGGCGACACCCUGGACUCAUACUGACACUGAGGUGCGAAGCGUGGGGAGCAAACAGG
rnacentral:rRNA from 1 species